rnacentral:rRNA from 1 species
UACGUAGGGUGCAAGCGUUAAUCGGAAUUACUGGGCGUAAAGCGUGCGCAGGCGGCCUCGCAAGUCAGAUGUGAAAUCCCCGAGCUCAACUUGGGAACUGCAUUUGAAACUACGGGGCUAGAGUGUGUCAGAGGGAGGUAGAAUUCCACGUGUAGCAGUGAAAUGCGUAGAGAUGUGGAGGAAUACCAGUGGCGAAGGCGGCCUCCUGGUAUAACACUGACGCUCAUGUACGAAAGCGUGGGGAGCAAACAGG